rnacentral:lncRNA from 1 species
AAUAAUUACAACGCCGGCCCAUAGGGCCUGGCAUGGAUUAACGGUGCAAGGUGACUAGGGCGAGAGGGCCCGUCCCCCUCACGCUGACGCCUCACCACGAAAGAGUCACAACCUCCGAAACUACAACCUCCAAGUCCUAGGCCGCUCUUCAAAGUCCACUACAUCCAAGCCUGCACACCUAGCAUAUCGAGCUAGGGAAACGCCACAUUAUAGUAGUGGAGCACUGCCAGUUCGUGCAAACCGAGGAGUCAUGGCGCUCCUCCUCGAGCCUUGGAUCUUGAGCCUUGUCUUGAACCUUGGACCUCGCCACUAAAUAGGACUUCUGCACCACGACCUUUCUAGGUUGCAGCGGGCAUAAGCCCGCAAUUGCCACUAAGGGCAAUUACCUAUCGUUCGUGGGAUCACCAAUCGGUUUCGCACCAAUCUUUCGCCUUUUGCAUAAUUGGGCUUUUAUCCGGAUUCGUACCCGGGUCCCUUCUGCCGUAAGGACGAAUCAAAUCGCUAACUGAGUUAGCGAUCCGGUGAUGGCUAGGACCAGGGGGGCAUGCCAAGAAUCAUGGCACCGCUCACCCCCGCACUAGGACACCUACACACGACCGAAACGUUAAGCAAAAGCUUGAUUUUGACGUGCCCAACCUAGAAGAGAUGGACCCGGACACAGCUGCGACCCUAGCGCAGGCGCAGAAUGAUCUUCAGCCCGGCGCCCAAGCCACUUACGCCUUCUCCUCGGCUCCGCUAGCUAUACUUGGUGGCAUGCUCGCCGACGGGACCCUUAACCUUAUCUUUGGCGCUGCCGGCGUGGGCAAGACGACCGUCGUUGCGUACUUGAUUAUGGCCCUUCUCGCCGGUGGCUGCAUUUUUGGGCGGCCUUGCGCUCCCCUGGUAGCGCGCGAUGACAACGGUGUCGCAUUGGUUUCACGUAUCCUGGUAUACGAGGGCGAGAACCGCGCUUCCGAGGCACAGCAACUCGUCGCAGCUGUCGCAUCGGCGUUUGGGACUUCUGCGGCUCUCAUCGAUAUCGACCACCAGGUGCGCUAAAUGUGUUAUCGUGAUGAAAACACUUAUUAUUGACUCGAAUGUCUACUUAUUUGGUUCCAUGUCGUUGUCGUUUGCAGAUAAAAUUUAUGCGAGUCGGCCACGGCGGGUUUUCAUGGAGGCGAGUCAAGGACCCUCAAGCCAGUGACGAAGGUUUAUUUCUGGAGACUGGACUAAUUCAGGUCAUUCGCAACGCCAUCUUGGACCGAUCCGUGUGUUGUGUCGUCCUCGACUCCCUGCUCAGCCUCUUGCGUUACGACCAAGCUUCUGCCAACAACCCCAACGUUAUGAUGAGCUUGUUACAGGUGUGUGUAUGUGUUUGUAAGUCUGUAUGUGACAUGUCCGUAUGGGAAGGGGGGGGGCAUCUGCAGACAUGUGUGUGGACGCGUGUCACAGUAUUGCGCUGCACACACUCCUUCGAUCUUACAUCUUAUCCGGUGCUGCGCAGGACCUGUUUACGUUAUGUGCAAUUCGUGGCGUCACAAUCAUUUUGUUACAUCAUGUCAACAAGAAGAGUGCCGGCAACAUUGCUGCUGGUGCACGAGUAAAUGCUUCAAUGCUUUCUGGGUCGUCCAGCAUUACCAACAACGUACAGCAUAUCAUUGGUAUUCAGAACCACACGGAUCCCGGAUGGGUCGAGGUGAGCAUGUCUGGGGGGAGAGCGUUUGGUAUGUGGCUGUGGCUUUCUGGGGCUUCUCUGUGCACAGCUGUAGCUUUGUUGCCUGAGCUGUCUCACCCUAUAGAUGCAUUUUUACUGACACCAUGCUUCCUUUUGCAUGCAGAUUGAGGUCGUGAAGAGUAAUGUUACAAGCACUGGGCUUGUCAGCUAUCUCAACACUUCCCGGCCUCUUGACUUCUCAAUGAUCACACCCCCGUCACUGGGCCAUCAAUCCAAUACCUCCACCGACACUCAGCUUGCUAUGAUGAAAAUGGUAGCUAAUAGUGGCCGGCACGGUGCAUUAUGGUUGGCUAUUGAGACAUCGUUGGGUGGCAAACCUACGGACCUAAUGGAUGCACGCGACGCCCUUUAUCGACAACAGCUUGUUUACCACAUUCAGGGCUCCGACAGGUACGGUUCGUUCAUGCUUUCGGGAUCCCUUGCUGCGGUUUGGCUAAUCACACAAUCGUAUGUGCUCCGCAGGGGUGGUUCUGACACACGCUGGUUCUUAACGGACAAUGGCGUCCGCUGGCUGGCUCAGCAACAGCAAGAGCAGACAGCAUAAUAAUAAUAAUUACAACGCCGGCCCAUAGGGCCUGGCAUGGAUUAACGGGGCAAGGUGACUAGGGCGAGAGGGCCCGCCCCCCUCACGCUGACGCCUCACCACGAAAGAGUCACAACCUCCGAAACUACAACCUCCAAGUCCUAGGCCGCUCUUCAAAGUCCACUACAUCCAAGCCUGCACACCUAGCAUAUCGAGCUAGGGAAACGCCGCGUUAUAGUAGUGGAGCACUGCCAGUUCGUGCGAACCGAGGAGCCAUGGCGCUCCUCCUCGAGCCUUGGAUCUUGAGCCUUGUCUUGAACCUUGGACCUCGCCACUAAAUCGGACUUCUGCACCACGACCUUUCUAGGUUGCAGCGGGCGUAAGCCCGCAAUUGCCACUAAGGGCAAUUACCUAUCAUUCGUGGGAUCACCAAUCGGUUUCGCACCAAUCUUUCGCCUUUUGCAUAAUUGGGCUUUUAUCCGGAUUCGUACCCGGGUCCCUUCUGCCGAAAGGACGAGUCAAAUCGCUAACUGAGUUAGCGAUCCGGUGAUAAGAGCAGACAGCACGUGUUCGUGGUGUUCUGAGUACUGCGCCUGCGCAAACUGGCAUGCCGUUCCAGCAACACGCAGCCCCCUCGUCAGCCCUCCAACCCCCCCCCACCGCCGCCGCCUCCUCCCCGUCCGGUACCAGCCCAGCAUGCGCAUUUUGGCCCUACUGGUGUUACGUUUCCCCCGCCUCCUCCUCCCCGUCCUGUACCAGCCCAGCGCCCACUGUUUACUGGCAUGGCUGGUCUUGCCUUCCCCCCUCCUCCCUCCCUUGUUCGUAACACUAAUGCACAGCAUCAUCACGCGCAGACUGGUGGCUCAGCUUUUUCUCAGCCGCCGCCUCCAGCGCCCAUUCCCCAAAACCCCCCUGUCUAUGGUGGCAGCACUGGCGGUGCUGGUGGUGCAUAUGUUUACAAAUGUGGCACAAAUGUGUCUCAGCCACACCACGCACGAGUUAGUGUUUUCCCUUCAGUGACAGGCGUUGCACCUACCUACUCCCAUGUUUCUGUCCCUGCUCCCAUGGCUCCACAGCCAGCAGCUAUGCCUCCUAUGCGCUCGAUAUCUGUUCGGCAGCCGGUACCUGGCCACAAUCCAGCGCCUCCCGUGUACGGUGCUGGAGGCGCUGGUACUAUUGCCUCUCACCUGCCAAUCCCCUCUCGCAACAUUCUGGUUCCCACUGUACCAAUCGGCACUCACUACCAGGGCACGCCAGCGUCCCAUCGUACUCCUGGUCCAGCCCCUAUGCGCCGCGUGUCCCCGGUGCCUUUUUACGUUGGCAUGCCGCUACAGGCUGUUCCUGGUGUCCACCGGUCGCGCACACUGUCAUCUACACCUUCGGUUUCCAUUGCUGCAACACCCCAGUCCCGUGUACUUCCAACACCCACUGUUGCGGAAAGUCCGCCAAUUCCCACUGACCAGCUUCAAGGUAUGUGAGGCUUCGGCAUUCAUAAAUUGCGUCUACUUAACCAAAUCUUUUCCACAGGAUUUGUUGAAAAUACACUUAGACAGCCAGACAUCCGGCAGUACAUUGUGCUUCUAUUAUGCAACAACACACUACCAGAGUUCAUUGCUAGAAACAUUGUUAACAGCCAGUCCAUGUGGCACCUAGUUAUGCCAGUACUCGCGCCAUCUUCAUCAGUCAAGCGCAAUGUGGAGCAGCGCCUAGAGAGUGUUGUACUGAUGUGCGCUGAUCAGAGCUGGCUGUUUGAUACCUUGCUGGCCUACAUUACGGGUUUGAACGACCAGGCUCACGCCCAAUUCGGUAAGCAACAGUGUCAGUUUUAGUUUGGGUCCCCUGUGUUGGGGCCCCUUGGGUCUCUUGGAUUGCUUGUUACAGGGCAUUUUUGUGCGCAUUUUUCGUUCGCUUCCUUAGCAUCUUCUUUUUCUCCCUAACCAUCUAUCUCACUAAGCUUCUUUCUUCUUGCCCCCUUAUGCGCCCUCCCCCCCAUUUCGCCCCACCCUCCAGACGAGCGGCGGGUGGCCAUUGGCAGAUAGCAUGAAGACAUUCCCAUGGCAGCUGACUUCGCAGCUGCCAGCUUUUUGGGUAAGCAAUGAGGGUUUGAAUUCUGGAUCUCUGCAGAUGUCCUGCUGUCUGCAUUACCCAGGCUAUCUCUCUCUCACCCCGGCCCUCGUGUGUUCAAUUUGGCUGUGUGCUGUUUGCAACCCGUCCAUGAUCUGAGGAACCCUGUUUUCCCUUCACCCGCCCCCGCCCCAGGCAAUGAGACAAAGGGAGCUACUGACAAGUUUGCUACAAUUGGAGACUCACAGCAAUCUAUCGCAGCGAAGUCUGGACACACCAAAUGAUACCACAAACACAUGUGUAACUUCGUAUUCGUGACAUGACUCCUGUACCUCUCUCUCUACCAGUUAUCAAAUAGGUGCUGCGCAGCAGGGCUCUGCAAAUAUUCUCGCACUUGUACCCGAUUCAGCCGGGACCAGUCACCACCAAAUUGCCGCAAAAGCGCCUCCUCCCAGCCCUCAAGCAUCUGUCCAUGGCGCCAGGCCUGACCACGAAUGUAGCGACGGUUGGCAUGCAUGUACAUGUUAGUAAGCUGACAACACAGCGCGAAUACCGAAUUAGCCCGGUGCAGACCAUGGCGCCAUGUUCCCGACAAAAUACGGAACUUUGAUUUCAUGGCUCCAAACAGGAACUCAAUCACCACGCGCUGCCUCCGAACCUCCCUAUUGAAUGCCCGUUGCCCCUGUGUCAGCGUGGGGCGUGCAACAUAUGGUACUGUCACGUUGCCACAUCCCAUGAAUCCACAGUCUGCUAUAAGCCGUUGCCCCUGCGCAAAGUAUGCUUGUUUGUUUGUGUACAGGUCACACGACUUAUAAGCCACGCUGUCGUGGGUCCUUCCAUAAAACCCUACGCGUAUCGCACGUAUGCAGCCCCGCCAGUCGCACACAACUAGGUGAUUCAAGAAGUGGCGUUUUUUGCGGCCAUUGUAGUAAAGGGGCUCGUCGGCACCAGGGCGACAGAUAUACUGCACGGUCCCGUCCACAACCCCCACAACCCCAAAGCGUGUCAGGGCCCCGGCCUGCCGUGCAAGUGUAUUUCGCUCAGCGGCACCCGGCCACCUUAUUUGAUCCUCAGUAGCAGCUAACAAACACUCACAAACGUGCCAAAAAUUGUCGCAGACCGAAGCCACGUUGAGCCCUGACAUGGCACACAACCGAACCAGCCUAUCAUCAUCUUUCAGUCGCACCAAGCAAAGAAACAAGCGUGUUGCUGGGCUCAGUUUAUGUGGGCGCCCACCGCGAGUUCGCCGCUGCCGAGCCAGCCCACGGCCGCCACGAGGAUCGCGGGGCUUCAGAAUGUAGCUCCUCGGCAUCGCAGGGUCCAUGAGCUUUGCUAACAGAUUUUGAAACUGGGUUGGCGUGAAAUUGGUCAUGGCCUUGAACAGCACAUCGUUUGGUGCGUAUUGCGAGUAUAAUUCUUUCGCAUCGCCCGCGCCAUACGUGAUACCUAGCCGGGCAUGCUUCUCCAGGCGGUGAAUAAGAAUAAGGCAAAGCAUGAGACAACUUGUGACAGUCGACGUCGACAAGAGCGACGCAAUUGUGGUCGCGAUAAACGCAUUUUGUAGAUUGCACCAAACUAAUAGAAUAAGCAGUUCAGUUUGAGACAUGUUCACCUGUUCUAGUGUAGUCGAGGGCUUCGCCAGGAGGGUAUAAGGCGAUGGGGGGCACGAUCGAUGCAGCGACGCCUAACUUUGUGUGCACGCCUUAGCAAACCCGUGACACAGAUUUCGCGCCCCUUGGCGUGGCACAGUUUUUGUCAACGAAACUUUGUGAUUGUGAGGUAUUCUAAAUCCUCUAUUAGGUACAAGCUUGCAACAGAAUCUGAUGCAAUAGUGAGCUUCUUAUUUGCAAAUUCUUUACCCUCGCCACCAAAUUCUGCGAGGGCAGCACGAAUUGCUGCCAAUUCAGCUCUCGUAAUAGUGUUAGUCCGGAGUCACAAGACACUACACGUCACUACAAGUUCAGUUAGGCAGGUCACCGAAGCCGUGCUUCGAACUAGCAACAAGAAUCCCUUUGCUUGUACACUGUCAACAAAAGAAUAUCCUUUAUCAAACUCAAGCUUCAGGCCUGCUCUCACGUGGUUGAUGAAGUGUCGCGCAACCAUAAGUCAACCGGCCAAUCGUGUGUGUGCCGUGCCAGCCCGACACGUCCCACACACUCACUUAUGCACUGUUCAUACAAUCCCAUGGCUCAUAACCUACACGGAAACUCGAUGCAGCAGACAAUAUAGUACAACGCCACCACGGAACGCUCCUAAGCUGGUCUGGGGCGGUUUAGGCUGCGCUCCUCACGGUCUGGGGCACAGCUCCCAUAGGCGAAUUAGGCCUGUGGUAACCGGGUGGUAGGGAGACACAAAACACACAUUUAAACUAUGCAGCAAAGUGUGGCGUGGUGAGAAAUUCUGGCUGCCAUGUAUUCAACCCACAGCUGUGAGUUUCCGUCGGCAACCCUUGCCCGUCCCUUGGGCAAGCAGGCAGGCAGAUUUCGAACAUGCCCUUCAGGAUAAUCCUAGCAAUGCGCCUCUCAAUACCCACAUAACCUGCACCCUUCCAUCUCACCGCGUGCCAGGAGGCCUCGCCGUCGAAGGGCGCCAGCGGGUUGUUGCGGAGGUAGUCCCGCACGGCCGACACGAUGUGCGGGCGGAAGUCCACCACGAAGCGUGCGAAGGCGGCCUCCACCAUGCGCAGGACCGGCAGGAACUGCGCGAUGUUGUCGUACAUCGUCGGCAGGCCGAACUCCUGAAGGCCGGGAACCACCAUGGAGUCCGCGGCGGCGUGGCCGUUGCAGGCGCGCGAGGCGAUGAGGCCCGCGUCGGAGGGCAGGAUGUAGGUCAGCCGCAUCUGCAGCUCGUUGGCAAACAUGGCCGUCAGCUGCGCGAACUCAGCCUGCUGCUUCUGGUAGGCCUGGAACGUCUCCAGCAGGUGGUUAACGGUUUCCUGCUGGUGCUGCCGCAGGGCGUCGUUCUCGUUGUGAGCAAACGCGAGCUCCCCCUCAGCCAUCUCGUGUGUCUCCCGGAGCUCGGUGAUAGUGUCGGUCGCAGAAGCGAGCCUCUCCUCAAGGUCCACCACCUUCUCGUUGGCGCGCUCCAGCUCAAACUCCCGGCGAAGAAGCUGGCGCUGAGCGUGGUCGACCUCGAACAGGGCCUCGCGGGCGAAGCCAGCGCCGGGGGCGCGAAUGUGGGCCUACACAUGGUGUCACAAGUAUCAAGUAAGCAAAACAAAUAUAGAAACAUCAACUGCAGAGAAUAAGCCCUCAGACUGGGCACCAAAUUCACGAUGAACCCUAGAUCCAAAGUAAACCCCUUCCCAAAGCAACAGCGUAGUCCCUAGCCAUGCUGCGUCUUAUUUAUGUUUAGAAAACCUAAUCAAAACGCACACCUGCGCGAUGGCGUAGGCGCGCGACGCCGGGCUAGCGUGGUACAGCCGCAGCAGCCCUGGAAAUAAAAGACACAUACACACAGUCAAACAAACAGCUCGAAAAAUCAAUAAACAACAACCGUGACGGCGCAAGCGGUUUUGUAGGGUUACCCGGCCCGCAUGUCUGGCCUCCACUCACCGCGCUCGCUGGUGCUGGUCGAGGAGCCGCUCUUGAGGCUCGUGCCAGCGCUGGAGCCCAUGCCCAGGCCACGCAGCUCGUCGGCGAGUUCCACGGAACGGACCGAGCGCAUGGCGCGACCGAGGGUGCGGUGGCGAUGGUAGUACAUGGUGGAGGUGGCUGUCUUGUCAAGAGUAGACAAGGUAAGACCAAUAGGAAACGCCUUAUGGCCGCCGGGUUGCCGUCCUCUUCUUCCCCAUCCGUUCAAUUUGCCGUACACUUUCCAGGGUCGUGCCGGGUCGACACGCACGACCUUUCGUUCCAGUAGCCAGAAUCGCCUUCUUGCGCCUGGUGCUCAACCAGAGUGGUUUGGGGCGGAGAAGCCUGCCCGUCACCACAAGGGUUUUUUUAGGGCGUUGCCCCCGCACGACGCCCCGUGACUGUUUGGACAGAAUAAAUAGAUACAAACUCAACAUACACACAGGGCACACGAGUUCUUAAACUAGAUAUCAAACGCUUGCAGCCUCUAGGGUUCGUAGGCGGACUGCGAAUACGCAGGGCAACAGACCAGAAGACACACAGGAGACCCGGGAGUUCUUGCACACCAACGGGUGUGUGGGCUCUUCGCAGGCGCUACCCCAACUAUUUUCUGCGCCAGCGGCCUCUUUUACUCCGCAUAACUUACACGCUCACACGCAUCCCUGGGAAGUUUUGGCACACCAACGGGUGUGUGGGCUCUCUGCAGGCACUUUCCCAACUCUCUUCUGUGCCUGCGGCCUCUUACUUUCCCUUGUUGUAUCCCAACACGCAUGCCAAUCAGGUACCUUCAUCCAAGUGGAUUACGUCUGCCGGGACAUAUGGACGUCCGUCGGACUGCCUUACUUUCCAGCCGUGGGCUGUGCAAGUAAGUGUCGCACGGGGAAAAUGAGUUCUGACCCCGCACCAUCCGUGACUUUCACAAGCGUGCCUGUGAUGUCAUAAGAAUGGAAGGCGUACGGGCCUUCACGCCCUGAGUCCAACUUGGUUUUGGGUACUCGUGAGAUCUACACCAAUGCCCCCUUUCCCAACGCAGGUAAGUGGGCGUACCUGGGGUCAUCAAGCUCAUCGGCGCUACCGGGGUCAGCCUGGGUAGGGCAUGGACACACCGUAGCAGGCCCCGUCCAGCGUCGCUUGUGGUUCUGAGCGACCGCAGACUUGGUGAGGCACGGAUCACGACGAUCAGCAUCCUUGCUAGCAUCCCCAUAGGCGCCCGUACCGGGUGUUGCCUGUGGGGGUGGUGACUGUGGCUCAGUCACGGCCAGCAAGCUCUUUCUCACCUUCUUCUUGGUAGGGGGUGCCAUCAUAACGUCAUCAUCCGUGGUGACGGUGGUGGCAGCUGUAGUUGCCUCUGGGACGUUGGCCUUGUCCCUUGUCGGGACGCCAGUGGUAGCCCCGUGGGCGGCUGCGGUAGGGGUUGCACGGCGGGGUCCGCGGGGACGCGGGGGUUGGUUCUUGUAGGUGCGGUUGGCGUAGUUCUUGAUGUCCCGCUCUUUUGCCUUCACAAGGUUGGCGUCAAUUCUUCGAGCCAACUCAGUCAUGGCAGUGUUGCGACAUUGCAACUGCUCCAACUUCCGUGCCUCGUCUCCCUCGCUUUCCCCUUCAGUGGCAUCCGUUCCCUCAGAUUCGAGAGUACGGCUGAGCACAAGCUCUUUGCCAUAGAGAGCAAGCGCAGGUGAGACUUUGGUGGAACGGUGGGGUUCUGCGCGCAGGGAGAAAACAACACGGAACAGGUCACGGUCCCAUUGCUCUUCCUCCUGCAAUACGCGCAUGAGGCGGUCACGGAUUACUCCGUUCACCACCUCAACGGCCCCAUUAACGUUGGGUGCGCGAGCAGCGCCCGAGCGCUGCUUGAUACCGUAGGUAGAGCAGAGCUCAGCAAAAGCGCCUUUGAAUUCUGACCCGCCGUCAGACCACACCACCUUCCAUGGCCCGAACAGGUCAAUAUGGACGCGGCCAAACAGUGGCUCAAUGCUGAGCGGGUUGAGGUGCGGAACCUUCACGGGGCGCACCCGUGCCUCUUGGCACGGACGACAGUUGUACACAUACACCUUCGCGUCGUGCUGCAUUGCGCGCCAGGUGUACCGAUGGCGCAACAAUUGGUAAGUGCGGGAUGCGCCCGGGUGGGCUAGGUCGUGCACCUCCUUGAGGGCCGCCAUGCGCUCACUGAGGCAUAGCACCCGCACAGCAGGACGGGUUAAUAAUAAUAAUAAUAAUAAUAGCUACGCACGGGCCAACGGCCCCGCGUGUCUUAAGGAAGAGUCCUUCUUAGAACCCUACCGUACCCCUGUGGGACCCUGACUAGAGGCACCCCACGCAUCACCCUCUACUCAGCUCAUAGGAUCCGAAGAUCUGAGCUUAUCGGCCUACCAACCCUCCGAAUUCGGCCAGCGUAGAGUUUCCUCGUUGCACCAAUGGGAUCCGAACCCAGAGGGUCGAUACAACGAUUCUUCGGUGCCACGGUAGCCACGGACUCCAUACCGGAACACCUACGGUGAGGGGGGUGGGAUCCGAACCCACGACCUCAACCUUAUCCGCCGGGAAACGGGCCGAAUACGAGAUUCGAACCCGGGUCCGCAGGGUGAUAAGGAAGUGCUCUUACCUACUGAGCUACCCCCCCUCAGGACGCAGGACGGGUUUUAGUUGGGGUACGGUACAGGUGGUCGUCCUUCCAAAAGUAGUGUUGGGCCUUGCGUGCAACCCGGGAGUUGGGGGCAAGGAUUAGCGUACCUUGCGCCUUGGUGCGUAGGAAGUCCAGAAGUUCUCUGUCGUUCCACACUGCACAUUCACGGGUACCAUAAUUCCAGGUGCCCUCCCGGAUUUCUCCCUCCUCAAGAUCCCAAUCACUCCCUUCAUCUUCCCCCUCUCCAGAUUCGUCUUCCGGAUCAAGCGACACUUCACUCAUGUAAGUGUCACUGUCAGCCGGCGACGCCUGGUAGUCGGAGUCGGAGCCAGAAUCAUCAACUGGCGGAUGGUGGGUAGUGACAGGUCCUGAAGCGGGGGCCGAUGGGGCAUGAGAUGGCUGGGACCCACUGGGGCCCGCCUGGGUUGGGUCCUGCCUCUGGACCCCAGUAGUCUGAGCCAGGGAGCCAUCUUCAGGUGCCGGGGCGCAUGGGGAAGCGACAGCAGUAGCGGCUACCGCAGCCUCCUUGGCACGCUGGGUGGCCAUGGUCAGGGGCUUUGGCGUGCGCCAGGCGGCGACCUUCUUGGCAGUAGCCGUGGCGUGCCGCUCUGCAGCAUGAUCAGGGCAAAACCAUUUACCCUUGGGUACAGCGCGUAGCGCUGGGGUAAGGCAAUCGGUAUGGCAUCCAUGCGUCUCGCCGGGGGCGUCGCAUAACACCAGGUUGUUUGCCGGUUGGCCCUCCCCACAGAUCAAGCACCUCACGCUGUCAUCACUGCUGGUGGGUUCGUGAGGAGCAUAAUCUUGGAGUAGGCGGUUGGGUUGGCGGUACCGCUUGCCCUUCGCAUCAGCUGCGGCAGCAGUUGUUGCGGCGGGUACCUGCCGAUCACCCACAUCAAAGCGGACACGGGGACCGUUGUCGCCACCGGCGGCAGUUUCCUGCGAGGGCGGCUCGGUCUCAUCAUCCUCGGACGUGGGUAAUUUGGGAGAGUUGGUUGGCUGGGUAGGUGGUAGGAUGGGCUGAGUCGGCGUAGGCACGUCCUGAGCGGGUGCCGAGGCUACGUUAGCAGGCUGCCGGGCGGCAGUAGUUGUAGCCAUUGGCGCGUUGACACGUCGCGGCUCAGGGCCUUGCGGUGGUACCGGCGGAGCUAUAGGCACUCCUCGCGGGGCGGCCGCGGCUGGCCUAGCCGGAAGGUAACGGGUCAUGAGCCAUUCACGGUCUACGCCCCGGUAGGAGUCGGUAAUGCCGUCCGACAGCAUGAUCUCGAUGGCGUGUUGACGGUGAGAGGUAGUCGUGACGGCGUGAGGUGGACGGGCGCAGCGCGAAGCAAGAAAGGUGCUAGGCGUCGUGCAUAGGUCAAGGCCGGUAGUGCAGGGAUCCGUGGGCAGUUGCUCUUCGGCAGGUAGGCCAGGGGGUUCGAAGCAAUCUUCGAGCUCCAGGCGUGUUAGUCCGUCAGCAACGGAGUUGGUAGCGCCGGGCCGGUGGCGAAUCUCCAUGUCGUACUGCAUCAGCCGCAUGGCCAGACGAGCAAGUUUGCCCGUCAGAUUCUUGGACGUGAGCAGGAACUUGAUUGCAGAAUGAUCGGUGUAGAGAAUGAAGCGGCCUGUGCCGUACAGAAACGGAUGGAAACGUGUAACGCCGAAUACGGCCGCAAAUGCCUCUCCAUCCACGGAAGCCCAGUUGAGAGCGGGGCCGGUCAGGCGCUUGGAUGCGUAGCUGACAACAUACUCACGCCCUUGGUCAUCGCGUUGGGAGAGACAGGCCGCAACAGCAUGGCGUGCCCAAUCCACCGAAAGCUCAAACUGUCGACCCCAGUCAGGAGCACGCAGAAUGGGUUCGGAAGUAAGGGCAUCGCGCAGCUGUUCAUAGGCGCUUUGCUCCUCAUCCCCCCAUCUCCAUUGUGUGCGUGGCGAGCACAGGUUGUAGAGUGGGCGAGCGAUGCUGGCAUAAUCCUUCACCCAGCACCGGAAGUAACCCGUGAUGCCCAAGAACGCCUUCACUUGGCGUGGGGUCCUGAGCUGGGGGUACUUCUUGAGGUUGGCAAUGUGCUUGGCCGCGGGUUUGAUCUCGCCGGUGGUGCCAUUAAUGGCAUGACCCAGGAAGGUCAACUCGGGGGUGUAGCACUCAAAUUUGUCAACACUCACACGUAGUCCGGAGAUGCGGAGGAGUGUGAACACGUCAGACAACACACGGCAGUGGUCCUGUAUGUUAUCGGCGUAUGCGGCCACAUCAUCUACCCAGCUCUGCACGCUGAUGUUCAGGAGGGGCCGCAGCACCGCCUGCAUUGCACGGCAGUAGUAGGCAGGAGAGCUGCGGAGCCCUUGGGCCGCUCGGCAGAACUCAUACUGCCCACCUAGGCGGCUGGCAGUAGGCACCGCGAAUGCUGUGCAUUCACGGCUGCGUUCGUUUAAUUCCAGUUGGAAGAACCCGGACACGGCAUCCAUACUGGAGAAACGGCGCGUGGCAGGGGGAUUGGGGGUUAGGCGUUGAACUUGCUCAUCCACGUGGCCCAUGGGCCACUGGACUGGUUUAGUAACCGAGUUCAGCAUCCGGUAGUCCAGGACGCAACGGUAGCCCUUCCCAGGUCCCUUUGGAAUCAUGAUGACUGGUGCGCACCAGGGGGAGCACGAGGGCCGAAUCACACCGGCGGCAAGUAGCCUUUCCACUUCAUCGUGUAGGGCUUCCAACUCUACACGCGACAUGCGGUAGGGCUGGAUGGCGAUGGGGGUAGCAUCACCAGUGUCAAUGUCCAUUUCCACCCAAGUGCAGUGACCCAGUUGACUGUUAUUCAGGGCAAAGACGUCAUAGUUGUCCCGCAGGCACUGACGUAGCAUGUCCUGUUCAGCAGGGGUAGCACUGGUGGGGACACGGUCCAUUAGCGCAGAUACAACCGCGGCGUCUUCGUUCGCCUGGCGGUCUUGCAAAGUCUGCGCCGCGUAGGUCCGUGCGGUUGCCAGUUGCUCUUCAGGCGUAAGUCGCAUGACGUAGCUGAAGUCAGGCAAAGGCUUGGCUGGGAUUUGCGAAGCACCGUACCUCGGAUGGGCCGCCUUGAGGUCGGGAGUGUCCAGUGAUAACCACCAAUCACCAGCUUCGUCCUCUACCUCCGUGUCAGAGGUAUCGGUGGGGGAUGCCAGGGCCCAGUCGUGCCAGUCAUCGUCCUGAGAGCCCCACUCGUCUUCCGAAUCGGUAGGUGGUGGGGUGUCUGACAGGCCAAGGGCUGGAGGCUCACAUGGCGCAUCAUUCGAUGGUCCGUCGGCAAUAGCAGUUGGCCGCAUGACGUCAAGGUAGGCAUGCGUGUCCGUGCGCGCUGGAAGAGUUUGCAGCGCCAGGACUUCUCGUCCGUCGGCAAUAGGUUCUGCCUCGGUAUCAAAGGAGAGAACCUCAGGAGUGGAGCCCGCGGGGUCCUGCCGUUGGUGUGCGGGGGCUGGUGUGGCACCGUCCGAGUCGGCGGGAAUCAGGGGGACGUGCGAGUGUGACGGGAUCGGCACCUGCCAACCUUUGGGUGUGUUCGGAACAGGUAAUGGUAAUGAUGCCGUUCUUGCCUCGUGGAUAGCUUUCCACGCACCAAGGGUGCAUGAAAUCGUAGUAGUGUGUGUGGGCGCGGUCACGGUCGACCUCGUCCCACGGUUCACACCUUAAACGGCGGGGCAUCCAGGUACGGCGUGGGUGGCGGAACGCAAAUGGUACCGCCCCAUCAUGGGGGCACCCGUUGGCGUCCAGAUUCACCUCGUCUUCGGGAACCGGCGACAGGAGAGGGCUCGCCGCGCCAUCACUGAUGGCCGCCCGUACGAGGGGGGAAACUGGGCUGAAGGGCUGCAGAGGCUCAUCGGGCUCAAGUCCAUACAAGACGCGAGCUGCGUCGGCGUCACUCAAGCCCGCCAGCCUUCGUGCAAGCACGGGUGUGUAUCGUAAUGCUGCGUAAUAGCACGCCUCAAGCCGGCUGAGGCUUGCGCCAGGAGCAUGCGGCUGUAGGAGGUAGAGUAGUGCUUCGCAGUAGUAGUACAUGGCGUUCUCAGACGGGGUAGCAGUAGCGCUACCUUGCUGUUAAACGCGGUCGUGUAUCCUUCCCCAGUAUAGCAUCUGCCACUCCCAUACCCAGGUGGGAAAGGGACGGUCUGCGUAGUACCAGGUGAGGCUCUGCCGGGACAUACCCUGGUUGAUGGAGGGGAGUAGCGGUAUGACACCGCACUCAAUGAGUAGUUGGAUAUGUUCAACCAGCGCUGGCUCCAGCUCAGGCACAUACGCGUAGCACAAGGCUUGACAGCUGUCGGCAGACGUAUAGGUCGCGGCCUCGUGUCGGAAGACGAUGAGCGCCUGGUUGAGGAGGGUGUAACCUGCUUGUGGGUCAAACAGGUCAGCCGGCAACCCUUCGGAGUGAAUAAACCAGAGGGCGGCGGCGACUGCUGGGCUGAGUGAGAAGUGUCGGCCCGUUGCUUCCCAGGCGGCGACGGGGGAGUAGCCGGUGAGCAACAGGUCGUGCAGCGCUGCCGUGUAACCAGGCUUGGAGUAGUCAUCCGGGAAAGCCUGGGGCACGGAGCAAUGCGGGCGGGGGAAGACGCUGUAGAUGUUGUAGGGGGUGAGCUCCCACUCACGUGUCCUGGCGUAAUGGUCAUGAUGGCGCCAUAGCUCGAGGGAGAAGGGUUGCAGCUCCCGGGGAUGGCGCUCAACUGCCGGCCAGGUUCAGAUGACGUUCUCAUGCAGCGCCUGCAUGAGGUUGGUGUAAAGCCACGGGUGCAACAACACAGUUGGUUGCCGGUCGUGUAAUCGGUACACGAACCGUGACAGUUCUUCGUGGGUAGCCUGAAGCAUGCUGUCGGGCGCGCCCGUGUAAAAUAAGGCCCACAAGGCCUCAUAAAGUAAGGGACCAUCAAGGUGGAAACCGUUCCGGCGCGCCCACGCAAUGGCAUCCAUGGUGGGUGGUACCAUGAACUUGUGUGAGCGGUCUUCGUCGGUUUGCGUCCCCGGGUUCUCAGUGCCGGUGUUUCCUCCAUCGGUCGCACCGGUUGUGUCAACAUCAUCGAAAUCAUCCGACAUGCGCGAGAUGAUUUCGGUUACCUGCUGCCACUCGGUGUCUUCCGGUGAGGCGGCCUGAGUGUGGGGCGAUGGCACUACUUCGGUGUCCUCCGGUGGGUUGGAACGGGUUCCUUGGGCCCCGCCAGAGAACGGUAUGGCGUCAGACGCCGGAUAGUGGCGUGCAAGUUGUGCACACAUACCCUUGAGCUCGCUUCUCAGCUCAUCCGGAGUGGUUGUGGCCAGAGUAUGGAGCUCCGCAGGGGUGAAGUCCGGCGCGGGACUUCCCAACCUGUGAGUUUGGCGAUGGAGGAGGGUGUGACGUACGAAAACGCACGCCCGUUGCCACCUAGCCUUCCUUUCCGCCUGCCUUGCCGCAGCCCCGUCGGUCCGGGGUUCACCAGCCAGCGGGAAUGGCUGAGUGGCUUCUGCAGCGGCGGGACCGGCCUGGGUCGCCGAGGGGAUAGGAACAGCGGGAGGCGUGUCGUGAGCGAGGGUCAGCUCUCGUACAGCCUCUCGUGCCUGCCUUACCUCUGGCGGCUCAUAGGGUCGGCGGCGUGGGUCGGUAGGGUACUCGAAUGGCGCGGUGUCAAUCGCAAUGGGGCCCACCGUCCUUUCCUCAGGCGCCGGGUUGAUGGCGCCACACGUUUGACCAGGGUUGGUGGCGUGUGCAGGGUCACAUUGCGGGCCCUUGAGGGAGAGGAAAGGGGACGGCGCGUAGGAUGGGCGGUUGACCGUCAUCACGGGUACACGUGUAACUUUCACUGGCUUGAUUGCAAUGUUGCGUAGUCCAGUAGUGAGGUAAAUGGUGGGAAUACCAUCUGAGUUAUUGGUGUUGUCGGUGACGGGCGCCGUAUGACACACAGGCAGCGUGGAGACCGGUGCGUGUGCGUCGGGAGGCUCUGGCAAAACAGGAGGGUAGUCCGUGAUGCCGAGAGUAGCGCCGGGGUCAGCUGGCCCGACAGCGGUAGGGGCUGUCAGGUCUGGGGAAUCACGGUCGCCCGCCAAGGGAGAUUCCGGCCUGGCGUGGUUCCCAGGAGGGUCGCCAGUGGACAUGGAUUGGUCUCGUAUGGCGUGGGUACCAGCAGGAGAAGAAGCCAGCAUCAUCAUCUCGUCCACUGUCAUAGCGGCGAUCUCGGGAGCGCGCACAUAGACAAUGGGGAUCAUGCUUCGGGUUUGCCGGUCGUUGUUGUACAGCAGGUGGUUCCUCUGGUAGCAGAUGGUGGCUUGGAUGGGCCACAAGAAGUCGCAUCCCAGAAGAACACCAUAGUUAAGAGCUGUGCUCACCAGCAUAUCCAGGGUAAACGUCAUGUCACCCAGGGAUACGCGCACCUCUUUGAUGCGCCCAGCGGAGGUGGCCUUAGUGCCGCUGGCGGUGAGGAACUCAACUGACUCCUUCUCGAUGUAUUGGGCGAGGCCAAGACGGCGAAGGGUGUUCAGGGUAAUGACAGAACUUGAGGCCCCGCUGUCUAUAACAGCAGCAACACUCAUGUUCUCACCGUUCACAUCAACAAUGUGUACGGUGGCCCGGCAAACCUGGUAGCGGGACCGCUGGGAGGUGUCGGAGGCAUUGACAGCCUGGGCCAUCGUGCCUGCCGGCGUGACCUCACCCAGAUUGACGGCUGGGCCGGUGGGAGCAUUCACCCGGGCGCCCGGAGCGUUGGAAGCCGUGGGUGGUUGGCGUUGGUUGAUCGGUCCAGGGGGUGGCGGACGAGACGCCACAGGACGUUGAGGCGGCGCGGAGGUUGCACGCGGGUGGUGGUGUUGCGGCGGCGGGUGUUGGUUCGGGCGUCCAGACACUCGCUGCAUAGUGUCACCCUCGCUUGCUUGUCCAGCACCAGCAAUGACGACGUUGGCGUUGUCGUAGAUGUUGAAGGUGUCGUGUAGAUUCACUCCAGAGGUGGCGUUGACAGUAGUAGGGGAGGCGGUGGCGGAGCGGCGGCGAUUGGCAUUGGUACGAAUCACCUGAGUGGCCUCGGUGGCCAUGUGGGUGAGCAUGCGAAGCAUGUCACACCGGAGGGCGACGCCGACCGAGACAUUGCUCUUCAGUACCUUGGACAUCAAGUCCGUCGCGAGACGGCGCUCCUCAGAGUGGGUCUCUGGCGGGAUUCCAGUGGGUACGGGAUCGACACGCGUGUCGGCACCACCGGGUCCACGGGCUUGACGGCCAAUGUCUGCACGCUCCCUGGGGCGAGCAGGGGCGUCAGCUGAGCGUGGGGCUCCACGGACGGGGGUGUUGACGCCGGUAGGGGCACCGGAAGGGGUGCCCGCUCGUGGUUGCGGGGUAGCCUCUCCAGAGCGGUUUCCGGACGUGUAGCGACGGUACGGUCGUUGACGCUCGAAAUCCAUGGUGUCAGGAUCCGUCCGGACGGGCACCCGCUUGGUGGGUAGACGGCUGGGCUCAAAGUCACUCACACGCUUGGUGGUGUAAAUGGCCUCAUCGUCGUACAGUGCUGGCGGGGAGACCCGGUAAUCAUCGUAUCCUUCCCCGAAAUACAUUUCUUCCUGGUCACCGGGCCAGUCAUCCCAUUCGUCCGCGUGGUAUGCAUCGGCGUAACACGCGUCCUCAUAGGUAGCCGUAUCAGUGACCGGGUGGAAGUCAUGCAGUGGGUCAGGGUACGUGUCAAGUAGGCAUGCGCGCGAGUACCCCUCGUCCACUGAGUGAUAGCUCCGUGGCGAAAGCAGGGGUGUUUCGCAGUCAUACCCAACAGGACUGUGAGUGCCAUCCAUCAUGUAAGUCUCAUACAUGUUGGCGGCGGCAGAAGGCGAGGCGUUCUGCGUCCCACUGUUGCGCUCAAGGAGCAGCGUGAGGCGAGCCAAUUGGGAGGCGAGUUGAUCGGCAUCAGCAGCGGUUACCGGCUUUGGGUCAGGCCGCGCCCGUGGGGCGGGUCGGUCAUCCCUUCGCGGCUGGAAGUUAUCCUGCCUACGGUACCUUGCGUCGCGGUCAGAUCGAUUCUCCUGGCUGCCAUUGUUAUAGGGAGGCCGGUUCUGGUUGAAUCGGCCUUCCUGUUGGGGAGUCUCAAAUCGAACCUGCUUAUCACGGGCUGGUUCGGGGUUGGGGGGCCGUGGAGCGGCUUGCAUCACUGGGAGCGCAGCGUUCUCGUUGCGUAACACCUCACUGAUGUAAAUGGCCAGCUCAAUAGCGCGGGAUAGAGUGUGUGGCUCGCCCAGGUGGGUUUGCACACGCACCGUGCUGUUGAGUCCACGCAUAAAAUUAUGCAUGUGGGUGACAUCAGCAUCCCCGUUUAUGCCCAAUUCCGACAGCAGGUGCCGGAACCGGUCACAGUAGGAGCGAACAGUCUCAUCGCGCUUCUGACGGCAAUUGGCAAGGCGAGUGUGUAACUCGUCAGUCCUUACGCCAUACCGUUGUAGAAACGCGACACAGAAACUGUCCCACGUACGGGUUUGCUGGCGUACACCAGCUUCCCACGUACGGGCUUCCUGGCCCAGGCGACAGCGGGCAACAUCCAGCUUCGCCGUUUGCGGCCACCCAAACAACCGAGCGUGGCAAUCGAUAGUUUCCAACCAUUGGCGUGCGCUGUCCUCUGGGAAGAACACCGGGACCGCAGCCACGGAGGAGGGACUAACAGAAGGCAUCGCUGGAGGGUGUUGGAAGGCAAACUGCACUAUAAGGACGGGUUUGUGCGUUAUGGCAUGCGUUAGCAUGCGUUAAGCAUGGAAAUUCCGCAUGCGGCAAGCACGAAAAGUGCGUGCGGUACGCAGGAGGAAGCACACCGCUCGCAUGCGUCAAGGACAAGCACUUACGUUAGCUAACGCAUGGUAGUUGCCAGGACUUGCCGCGCCGCUCCCCUCUGGCUGGCACGCAUGCGUAUGCAUCCUUAGCAUACGCACGAUUAAGCACAAAUAAAGCAAAAAUGCCGGUUGCUUAGAGCUCUACGCAUGGUCUCACGCAUGCGGCACGCCUGUGCUUUACCUAAAGCAAGCUGCCACCCGGCGCUGUGUGCGUCCCGCCCGAUACUGUGCGCGUCCCGCACGGCACAUAAAAUGGGGCACAUGAGGCACCUGAAGCUCUCUUGAUGUGUUACAGUUCAUGCAUCUGCGCUCCGACACGUGCCCCUCGUACUGGUGUCGUGGUGUGCCAAAAUGGUGCAAGUCCGCACGGCUCUCCCGCUCCGUCCCCACACGACCCGCAACCCACCACGUGCUGCACGCACACACUCUGCAAGGUCUGCCAUUGCUACAAAACACUAAACGUACAGACCAGGCAUACUCAGGGUCUCGAGGCAAGUGUGAAGGCAACCGAUACGGAUCCCCUGCCAGCACUACACCCAGCCACCCGCCGAUCACACCAUAACACCAUGCGCGCACAGCGCCGCCUGCCAAUUCCGCUGCCGCCACCUGAAGUCUGCCGCUUGCCGCUAGCCACCUCCGUGCUUUAGCUCGGCCUGCAUGGUGUUUGGAGUAAGUUGGUCAGUGAAUGGUGGCACGGUGUCAUGCUAGCUCUAGGUACACGCAGGGCCUAGACCGCAUUCGGUCCCCUAGAACUAACUUCCCAUGUACGUCAUUCAAAUCCAAUCAUUCAUCCUAUUAUGAGUUGUGUAGCAAUUUCCGAUCAAACUUGCCUGGUGAGGGUUAGAAGGGCCACGCAUUUACGCGCGCUGCGCCCCGAGUCGAAUUCCAGUGCCGGACCUGAGGGGACAAGGGGAGGGGGAGGGGGGGAGCUUCACAUUCUGCAGUUCUGCCUAUGCUCUUACAACUUCGUCCAUACUGCGCAUGGAUGCUAGCUCGCUUGACCCCCUGAAUUUGUUGUCGCUUGUCGACCCCCUGAAUUGGCUGUCGCUAUGUACCUGCCUCACCUGGCACUGUUGAUUCCAGACUCUCUGAUGCUUGAUUUACAUCCUGUAACAGCAGCGUCAAGACCUGGCUUAGUUGUAGACCCGGUCAACGAGGGUCCGACACCCCCUGCGACAGCGCAGCCUAGCCCCAGCACCAGCAGCUCAUCACAUACCUUCCAAAGAUUGAUGCCAGGGCUUAGCAGGACUUGAAGACUCGCCCAGUAGACUUGAGCGCCAACUUUGAAAGCAAGUCCAUUGCCGACUGGCAGAGGACCACGAAGCCUCUACAUGGCACUGAACGAUAAGUAUGUAGCUACAUGUGACAAAGACAGGUUGCUUGAAGAGUGAAGAACUGAACUCGAAAUACAUGAGCCCCAUGCAGCCCCAUGCAACAAGGAACGCGCUCCAUGCUGGGUCUUGAUUUGCUGUGCAUGCUCCGGUCAGACCUUAAAUCAAUCUGCAGCAGGCCGGUGCGUCAGUCUUCAGCGCCGGUCCGGGCACGGGUCUCGCCUCGGCCUGCGCCUCCGCGGCUUGUGCUUAGGGAACCACCUGGAGCUGGGUACCGGCUUUCUCGGCUUCGCAUGGUUCGUCUUUAAAGCUUUCUCAGUAACGGGGAAAGCCUCACAUGCACACGCACCUCCGCUCAUGCCCACCGCCGCAUGAAGGAAGGCCGGGGGAGGCCUGGUGCGCCGGGCAGGAUACGGGGUAAGGCUCACAUGCACACGCACCCUCCUGUGGCGUUGCGGUCUGUCUGUGUGGUGCUAUCGCCUGGCCGGGCGCCCGGAGCGUGAGGAAUGCGCAUCAGCAGACUUCCAGCCAGCCAGGAACUUGUCGGUACAGUAACGCCGGCGUUCGACCAGCCAUGCACUUCUGCUCUGCCACUGCAAACUGUUUGCUGUCUGCUUACGGGUCUGGGCAUCGGCUGCACCCUACGGGACCUCGCCAACCUGCCUUGAACCCUGUCCCAUCACACGCACACGCACCCUCCGCUCACGCCCACCGCCGCAUGAAGACACGCCGGGGAAACGCCUGGUGCGCCGGGCUGGAUACGGUGUAGAGCUCCCAUGCACACGCACCCUCCGCUCACGCCCACCGCCGCAUGAAGACACGCCGGGGGAACGCCUGGUGCACCGGGCUGGAUACGGGGUAAGGCUCACAUGCACACGCACCUCCGCUCACGCCCACCGCCGCAUGAAGACACGCCGGGGGAACGCCUGGUGCGCCGGGCUGGAUACGGGGUAAGGCUCACAUGCACACGCACCUCCGCUCAUGCCCACCGCCGCAUGAAGACACGCCGGGGGAACGCCUGGUGCGCCGGGCUGGAUACGGUGUAGAGCUCCCAUGCACACGCACCUCCGCUCACGCCCACCGCCGCAUGAAGACACGCCGGGGGAACGCCUGGUGCGCCGGGCUGGAUACGGUGUAGAGCUCCCAUGCACACGCACCUCCGCUCACGCCCACCGCCGCAUGAAGACACGCCGGGGGAACGCCUGGUGCGCCGGGCUGGAUACGAUAUAGAGCUCCCAUGCACACGCACCCUCCGCUCAUGCUCACCGCCGCAUGAAGACACGCCGGGGGAACGCCUGGUGCGCCGGGCUGGAUACGGUAUAAGGCUCCCAUGCACAUGCACCUCCGCUCACGUCCACCGCCGCAUGAAGACACGCCGGGGGAACGCCUGGUGCGCCGGCCGGGCUGGAUACGGUGUAAGGCUCACAUGCACACGGGCACCGUGGUUCUGCCCGACACUGUCAAUAAAGGUGCUGACAAGCACCAGUUUGGUUUCGCUCCAUCGCGGCUGCUUGGCACAAUCACCGCCACGCGCCGCGGCAACCCCGGCCGCUGCCGUUUGCCCCGCCCAUGCCUCCCGCUCCCGUGCAGAUCCCGGGCUGAUAGCAGCGCGCAGCAGCGGCAGUCGCCAGCCUUCCUCCCCACCAGCGGCCGGGCAACCGGUGACUGCUGGCCAUGGGCAGCCGCGGCAGCCACAGCCUCUGCCGCGGCUGCUUGGAACAGUCACCGCCACGCGCUGCAGCAACCCCGGCCGCUCCCCCCGUUUACCCUGCUCAUGCCUCCCGCUCCCGUGCAGAUCCCGGACUGAUAGCAGCGCGCAGCAGCGGCAGUCGCCAGCCUUCUUCCCCACCAGCGGCCGCGCAACCGGUGACUGCUGGCCAUGGGCAGCCGCGGCAGCCACAGCCUCUGCCGCGGCUGCUUGGAACAGUCACCGCCACGCGCCGCAGCAACCCCGGCCGCUCCCCCCGUUUACCCUGCUCAUGCCUCCCGCUCCCGUGCAGAUCCCGGACUGAUAGCAGCGCGCAGCAGCGGCAGUCGCCAGCCUUCUUCCCCACCAGCGGCCGCGCAACCGGUGACUGCUGGCCAUGGGCAGCCGCGGCAGCCACAGCCUCUGCCGCGGCUGCUUGGAACAGUCACCGCCACGCGCCGCAGCAACCCCAGCCGCUCCCCCCGUUUACCCUGCUCAUGCCUCCCGCUCCCGUGCAGAUCCCGGACUGAUAGCAGCGCGCAGCAGCGGCAGUCGCCAGCCUUCUUCCCCACCAGCGGCCGCGCAACCGGUGACUGCUGGCCAUGGGCAGCCGCGGCAGCCACAGCCUCUGCCGCGGCUGCUUGGAACAGUCACCGCCACGCGCCGCAGCAACCCCGGCCGCUCCCCCCGUUUACCCUGGCCAUGACUCCUGCUCCCGUGUAGAUCCCGGGCUGAUAGCAGCGCGCAGCAGCGGCAGUCGCCCGCCAUCUUCCCCACCAGCGGCCGCGCAACCGGUGACUGCUGGCCAUGGGCAGCCGCGGCAGCCACAGCCUCUGCCGCGGCUGCUUGGAACAGUCACCGCCACGCGCCGCAGCAACCCCGGCCGCUCCCCCCGUUUACCCUGCUCAUGCCUCCCGCUCCCGUGCAGAUCCCGGACUGAUAGCAGCGCGCAGCAGCGGCAGUCGCCAGCCUUCUUCCCCACCAGCGGCCGCGCAACCGGUGACUGCUGGCCAUGGGCAGCCGCGGCAGCCACAGCCUCUGCCGCGGCUGCUUGGAACAGUCACCGCCACGCGCUGCAGCAACCCCGGCCGCUCCCCCCGUUUACCCUGCUCAUGCCUCCCGCUCCCGUGCAGAUCCCGGACUGAUAGCAGCGCGCAGCAGCGGCAGUCGCCAGCCUUCUUCCCCACCAGCGGCCGCGCAACCGGUGACUGCUGGCCAUGGGCAGCCGCGGCAGCCACAGCCUCUGCCGCGGCUGCUUGGAACAGUCACCGCCACGCGCUGCAGCAACCCCGGCCGCUCCCCCCGUUUACCCUGCUCAUGCCUCCCGCUCCCGUGCAGAUCCCGGACUGAUAGCAGCGCGCAGCAGCGGCAGUCGCCAGCCUUCUUCCCCACCAGCGGCCGCGCAACCGGUGACUGCUGGCCAUGGGCAGCCGCGGCAGCCACAGCCUCUGCCGCGGCUGCUUGGAACAGUCACCGCCACGCGCCGCAGCAACCCCGGCCGCUCCCCCCGUUUACCCUGCUCAUGCCUCCCGCUCCCGUGCAGAUCCCGGACUGAUAGCAGCGCGCAGCAGCGGCAGUCGCCAGCCUUCUUCCCCACCAGCGGCCGCGCAACCGGUGACUGCUGGCCAUGGGCAGCCGCGGCAGCCACAGCCUCUGCCGCGGCUGCUUGGAACAGUCACCGCCACGCGCCGCAGCAACCCCAGCCGCUCCCCCCGUUUACCCUGCUCAUGCCUCCCGCUCCCGUGCAGAUCCCGGACUGAUAGCAGCGCGCAGCAGCGGCAGUCGCCAGCCUUCUUCCCCACCAGCGGCCGCGCAACCGGUGACUGCUGGCCAUGGGCAGCCGCGGCAGCCACAGCCUCUGCCGCGGCUGCUUGGAACAGUCACCGCCACGCGCCGCAGCAACCCCGGCCGCUCCCCCCGUUUACCCUGGCCAUGACUCCUGCUCCCGUGUAGAUCCCGGGCUGAUAGCAGCGCGCAGCAGCGGCAGUCGCCCGCCAUCUUCCCCACCAGCGGCCGCGCAACCGGUGACUGCUGGCCAUGGGCAGCCGCGGCAGCCACAGCCUCUGCCGCGGCUGCUUGGAACAGUCACCGCCACGCGCCGCAGCAACCCCGGCCGCUCCCCCCGUUUACCCUGCUCAUGCCUCCCGCUCCCGUGCAGAUCCCGGACUGAUAGCAGCGCGCAGCAGCGGCAGUCGCCAGCCUUCUUCCCCACCAGCGGCCGCGCAACCGGUGACUGCUGGCCAUGGGCAGCCGCGGCAGCCACAGCUGCUGCCGCGGCUGCUUGGCGCAGUCACCACCACGCGCCGCCGGCGCUCCCCCCGUUUACCCUGCUCAUGCCUCCCGCUCCCGUGCGGAUCCCGGACUGAUAGCAGCGCGCAGCAGCGGCAGUCGCCAGCCUUCUUCCCCACCAGCGGCCGCGCAACCGGUGACUGCUGGCCAUGGGCAGCCACGGCAGCCACAGCUGCUGCCGCGGCUGCUUGGCGCAGUCACCACCACGCACCGCCGGCGCUCCCCCGUUUACCGCGACUACUAGUUAGUACCUAGGUUUAACUCUUCGUAAAUACAUACAACAUAGAGCCUGGCACUCGUUCCUUUGCCUUUGUUUAACAAGGCCCAUCCCUAACGCCUUGCUCAUGGCAAUUGCGUUAUACGUGCUAAUAUGCUGUUUGUUAACGCAGCAAAUGUAGAAGCAAUAGUUUGCACGUUGCAGUGCAGUUGGGCAAUCGCGAGGUUUGGCAAAGUCAUCAUUCGCUAUGUGUCUACACUCUGUGAGUUGAGCAAGUACUUGAGGUGAAGGCUUUGACGGGGCUUGCGUCGGGGGCUUGCGUAUUCGUGGGGCGCAUGCGUCUGCAUGCGUUCCGCAUGCGUGUUUCGCACGCACAACCGAGAGGUUUGCCGCCCUCCCCGCCCCUCAUGCUUCUUGCGUUCCGUGGACGCAUGCGUCCCACCCCCAACGCAUGCUUUACGCACAAAAAGCAGGUGUAACGCACAAACCCGUCCUUAUAGUGCUGAUGUUGCGGUGCGUCGCCACCGUUCAUCCCGGGAUUGGGAGACGGCGGUGAGGAGGGUGGCGAAUCGAUGGUGAAGUUGGAGAGGGGGCGUCCGUACCUGCGAUAAGCAGGGAAAACCCGAGGGUGUCAGUAGCGAUUCAAGGAUAGAAGUAAAUGGGCACUCCGCGUAGGGGGACGCGUGAGGCAGAUCAGAAGCUGACGCGUAGAAUCUGAACCAAAAGACGGGUCCGACGGACAGGUCAAGCAACAGGUUCAGGCAGGGUACGACGGGCUGACCGCACCAAUGCAGGCUGGUAGAACCCAAACCCCAGUAGUGGCAAACAAAGCAGGCGAAGCAAGCAGGUAAUGCGCUCUGGAGACGGGCUGCGGGGAAAGCUGGCCCCCGUGGAGAGUGCCCUGCGACUUGCGCAGCGGGCUAGGUGUCAAACACGCGACAGCAACUAUACACAAAACACGUUUCCCGUAACUCCCCCCACAAAAGGCGCACGCCCAGGAAACCCUGGAAAGUACAAAACUUUUUCGCGCCCACGGGUUGUGUAAUGCGUUGUAGUGCACGGGCUCACGUAUGAAGACGCGAUGAACCGCUUGUCGGUCGUGCCACCACUAAUAACCGCAGGACUGGGGAGAUGCCGGUCACAAGCACACGAACACACGCGCACGGUACGGUACGUACACAGGCACACACACGCGGCCCUUGGACGAAGGUCUUGGCUUCGGGACGGCGGCGGUGUAGAUGCAGCGAACCUUGAAUGGGUUGACGGGAGAUAUGUAUGUACGGGAGUCUCAGGAGUCUCAGGGGUGAAGCAGCAGCCGGGACUCACACACACGCUCACGCACACAGGCAGCAGCAGGGGUCACGGAGCUCUGGGCUCUGGAUGGUCUGCGGCGCUGCCUGGAGGCGGGUGGUGCUAGGCUGACGAAGGAGGCGAAGGGAGAAGGCAGAGAAAGGAGUAGGAGGCGAGGGCAGGGGAUCCCGGGAGUGCAAGGCAGGGACCAGGGCCGGAGCCGGUGGGCGCAAGGCACAACACCAAGCUACUGCGACACAGGGAUCCUAAGCACAGGCACGCGGGAGAUAGGAGUCUCAAAUGCAGGAGGGCUCGAGGCGACCUGCAGGCCCUGCAACACGGAGCGUGAAGCAGGCAAGGGAGCCGGGUGGUGGCUCGCAAAGAAGGGGGAGAAGUAGCACUGGCGCGGCGCAGACGGCAGGCGGUGCUUUGGAGACAGGCGCGGGCAGCUGUAGUCGCUGACGGGGCGCGGAGAAGUAGUCGACGGCUCCUUGAGGACGACGACGAGGGAAACGCAGGGAAACCUGUGAGGGGCCUGUGGCUGGAGAUAGCUGCACAGGACACACCAGCACGAUACAGCGCCGGCCCUUCGGGCCGGCGGAGAGACCGGAGGGGGAGCGCCCGCUCGCGGCGAGAGUCAGAGACAGGGCCGUCAGGCCGAAGGGGAAACAGACAAGCUUGAUUGCUUGUUACAGGAAACUUGGAGAGCUUUAAUUGUUGGUUGAUUGACUCGCACGCUUUGUACUUGUUUGUGUACUUUUUGGUGGAGUGAAGAAACAACUCCGCGCGUGCCCAUUUAAUGACUCGCGCGUCGUGGCCUCUUCCCGUACCAAACUCCAGCUACUUCAGCCACCUGCAGGCCACAGGUCGGCAGGCAAAGACGCUGCUACGCAAUUGCAAAUGUUCAUUCUGUCCAACAGGCCAACUUCAGCGCAUAUUGUACAGGGUAAACAACCAAACCAAAUAAUCAAACCGGAGUCACAAGACACUACACGUCACUACAAGUUCAGUUAGGCAGGUCACCGAAGCCGUGCUUCGAACUAGCAACAAGAAUCCCUUUGCUUGUACACUGUCAACAAAAGAAUAUCCUUUAUCAAACUCAAGCUUCAGGCCUGCUCUCACGUGGUUGAUGAAGUGUCGCGCAACCAUAAGUCAACCGGCCAAUCGUGUGUGUGCCGUGCCAGCCCGACACGUCCCACACACUCACUUAUGCACUGUUCAUACAAUCCCACGGCUCAUAACCUACACGGAAACUCGAUGCAGCAGACAAUAUAGUACAACGCCACCACGGAACGCUCCUCAGCUGGUCUGGGGCGGUUUAGGCUGCGCUCCUCACGGUCUGGGGCACAGCUCCCAUAGGCGAAUUAGGCCUGUGGUAACCGGGUGGUAGGGAGACACAAAACACACAUUUAAACUAUGCAGCAAAGUGUGGCGUGGUGAGAAAUUCUGGCUGCCAUGUAUUCAACCCACAUCCGAAAUGGGGCUGGGUGCGUCCGAAUCAACAGCUGGGCAUGUCCGAAAUGGGGCUGGGCGCGUCCGAAUUGCCAUUCGGAUGGCCGGUCUGGUCCGAACAUUGCGUCCGAAUCUUGGCAUCCGACAAAAGUGUCCGAAAUACUUGUAAUUCGGAUGCUAUUCGGACCGACUUCGGACCAGCUUCGGAGACAAAAACUUCGGACAGGGGUGGGGUCUUUCGGACAGGAACUCGGACCAGCUUCGGAUGGUCUUUCGGACCAGGCUUCGGAUCAGGUUUCGGACAGAUCUUCGGACCAACUUCGGACCAGAUUCGGAUGAGCGGCUUUCCCCGAGUGGCAGGUGUUGUCUCGAGUGGCCCGGGCGCAGGUGCGGUGGGCGGCGCGUGUGCAGGUAGGAUGCCGGCGGGUUGGGCCGCUGUUGCUGUGUCUGCGUCUGUCGUGCCGGCCCCGUCUGGGUGGGGCUGUGUCGCGCGUGGGCGAGCCUGCAGUGGGUGCUUGUAGCAGCGCACGUCUGUGACCGUGGCGUAGCCCAUGCGUGAGAAGGCGGUGACUAGGCCGGGUGGGAUGACAGAUGGCUUCCAUUGGACCGCGAAGUAUGGCUCGCGGGUGUUGGUUGUGUCCUCGCCCGCUUUGCGUUUGCGUGCAAUUUCCUCAUCUGUGACAGUUUGUUGGUUUGUGCGGUACAGGAUGGCCGCCAGCUCCUGGCCAUCAUUAUCCAGGUCGUAGGUAAGCUGCGCAUCCCCGUUGGUGCAGUCAUCGGUGGGAGGGUGGACCAGGUCCUUGACUACACGUUCCCGGGCUAGUUUCCAAAGUGUUUGCUUGCCCCGCCGGCGAGACAGCCUGAGUGGUGAGGCUUGCUGCCUAUCGUCCGCUUCCAUCAGGUCGUGCUGACUAUCGUCCACUUCCAUUUGGUCGUGCUCAGGUGCUGCGGCGUCGACGUCCAUUGGGUCCUCAGCGGCGGCCGCGGCUGGCUGCCCUUGGUGGAAAAGGUAGGUUUGCACGGCGCCAGUAGACGGCAUGGUUGCAUUCGCAGUGAGCAGAGUGGUUAUUGCGGGGGCCAUGGGCCGUUGCGUGCGGGUAACCGGGUUUCGGUUAUUGAAUGAAGGGGGGUCCCUUGGGUGGGGCUUGCAGAGGUGGUUGUGCCUGCUCAUGUCUUUUGCCAGGGCCGUGAACACUGAACGUGCCGUUUCGUACCCUCGUGUGCCAACUGCCAGGCUUUCGUCUCCAUUUGUGAGGCGCAUAGCCGUGCUGAUUGCGGCUUUAUCACUGGUGAGCAGGUCGUCGGGUGUUGUGCGCGUGUUUUCUGCAAUGUGGGCCUUUUGGGCGGCGUGUUUCGUGACGCGGCGGGAGUGGGCAGUUGGGUUUGUGGGAGUGCGCAUGACGGGCGUCUUCCGUGGCCGUGUCCGCAGGUUGGCUUCGGGUUGGGCGACGGGAGCUGCGGUAUCCGCGGCUGGGGCAGGAGUUGGGGCCAUCUGCCCCAAGGCAGUUGGCGUGUAUUGCAAGGGCGGGUUGUGAUAGAGUGGGCUGGCUUCUUCAAUGUCCAUUUGGGUUGUUGUGUUUGGGGCUGGGGUGAAGGGCUGUGGGGCGGGGCCUCCCGUCAUGAGUGCGGUGAGGGGUGGUGCCAUGCCCGGGGGUCGAGGGUCGUUCCGUGCGGAGAGGGCCUGGAGUUCUUCCAGGGGUGGGAUCACACGCUGGGUAGGCGGAAGCGGGUUCGGGCUCCCGUGUUUUUCCGGUGGCAUUUGGUCUCCGUCCAAUCCCGCCGUGGCAACCAGGGCCAGACUCAGCCUGUUGAGUGCAACCUUGUGUUUGUGGCGGACCCUGCUUGCCCCCAGGAGUUUCUCGAGCUCCCGGGUGCUAAUCAGAUGGCGGCUCAUAUUGCGGUCGACCAAGUGGCUGAAUUCGAGCUGGAGUUCCGCUAGCGGGAGCACGUGUUCGUUCGACAGGGAGGGGUGCUGCCGCACGCGCUGCAGCUGCGGCGUCCAGGGCCUCGACAAUUGACCAGGUAGGGGUGGUAUACGGUGUGCCCUUGUAGAAGAGCUGUAUACCAUGCUCACGAGCGAGGGUCAUCUGUUGCAGAGUUGUGAAGAAGCGCCCUCUGUCUGCAGGUAGGUGGUGUGCGAGGCUCGCACCCGCCAGGCUAUGCUGCCGUGGCAGGAGGGCACGGGUAACCACGCCCAGUCGGCCUGUGUCGUUUAGAGCAAGGACAAGCGCGCGGUUGGCCACACGCGCGUACUUGGGUAAGAGUGAGCCCAGUCCUAGGCCAUAUUCAUCGAUUGGGAGAAGGGUGGUACGGGUAGGGAAGCUGCGUGGCAGCCCAUAGCACCGUUUUGCGUAUCCGGCCAGUGUAGCGUCAAAGUUUGCGAUGUCCUGUUUCGUGUAUGGCAUCGCAGCAAAUGCAUAGGCGAUUGAGGUGUGGACGCAUUGCUGCAGCAUGCGUAGGCGUUGUGCCGGCGUGGCCAGUGACGUGGCUAUGGCCGUGCCCUUUUCUUUCACAGUUUCAGUGACGUGGGAGACUUGCGCCUUCCAGUCUAGUGAGAAGGUGAGUUGCACCCCCAGGUAUUUGUAGGGUUUUGUGGGCGGGUAGUACGGUACAGUGGUGUUACCAAUUCGUAGCUUGUUAGUCAGUUCACGGUGCAUCGCGUUCAGCGUGGCUUGGCCGGUGGGUCCGUCAAGGGUCGGGGUGGACCGGGACUUGUUGUGCCAGAUGGCGGUAGUUGCGCACUUGGUGUGAUUGACUCGCAGGCUUGCCCAGUCUGCAUAGUCCGAGAUUUUGUCACAUUGGAUCUGCAGGUCUUCCAGCGUUGUGGUCAGGGCCGCCAAGUCGUCAGCGUACGCGGCGGCGCUGCAGUGGUACCGUGCAUUGUCUUCCGGGCUGAGGCAUCCGUAGCGGUAGCCCCGCCCACCUGCGUGGAGCCACCGCACAAGCGGUUCCAUGAACAAGAUGAACAGUACAGGUGACAGGGUGUCACCUUGCACCGUGCCACGUUCUAUUGGGAUGGCGGAUGUGCAUCCAUGUUCAGUACGAAUGCGGGUGGUGGCGUGCGCGUAUAGGUUGCGGACUGCGCGUAUCAGGUCGUCAGGCAGGCCCAGAUCGAACAUAAUCUGGAGUAGCCUGUCCUGAUCGAUUGUGUUAAACGCAGAGCUGUAGUCAACAUACACUGCGUAUACGUCUUUCCCAUACAGGGCAGCGUCCUCCAGUACAUGCACAAGGUUCAGUAUCUGCCGUUCCGUGUUGCAGUAGGCCUGGAAGCCCUCCUGUGAUUCGCUGAACAGCUGGAGUGGGCCUGCCAGUUCGCCGAUGCCCAGGGUGAGCAUAGAAGUGUACAGUUUAUAGCAAGUGUUGGCUAGAGCGAUGGGCCUCUUGUUCUUGAUGUCAAGAGCGUCCCCAGGUUUUGGGAGCAGGACCGUGUCCGAAGUGGCCCAGGACUCCGGGAUUGUGGACUUGACGUACAUGAUCUUCAGUGUGUUGUGUAGGGCUCGCUUCAUGCCAUGAGGCAAGAUGCGGAGCAGCUCGUUCGGAAUGCCGUCUGGGCCCGUGGCUUUGUUACGAGAGAGGUGGGCGAUACAGUGGUCAAAGUUGGCGGGGUCUGCCAUGCUAGAAAGCAUGGAGUGUGCUUCCGGGUGCUUGUUACGCUCAAGCGUAAAGGCAUCCGUAGCGUUAGGUAGUUCGAACGGGUACCCACGCAUUGCGCCAGGCGACAGGCGAUAUUCACCUGUGCGGGGCCCUCGUGGGGGGGCUGACAGUUUGCGGAAGUGGCCUUCCAGGGCGGUUAGAAUGCUGGGGGGGUCGGUUACCACCUCGCCUGUUUCAGGGUUGCGGACCGCGGGGAGGCCACGUUCGGUUGCUUCUUUCUGAAAGAUACGUAUGUGGUAUGUUUUUUUUUUUAGGAAUCAUCCUUACAAGGUUGAACAGGGGCAGACGCGCUGCCCCCCUGCUGCCUGAAAGCAGCCUGUUCCCCGAGACCAGAACCCUGACAGGGCAAGAAGAGAAGAAAAGAGAAGAAAACAGAAAGCAAACACCUCGAGACCGCCACCAACCACCCCCAUCCAUCCCACCCACCCCACCCCGACCCGGCAGACAGAGCAGGAGGCUGGCCCCCCCGCCCCCCGGGAGGGGUUGCACAAAAACACCGCCAGACCUAACCCAAGCACCAAACUAUACCACAGCCUAAUUGCAAGAACCACCACCACCGCGCGCCAGAAAAGAAAACACCAGCGCUACGCACUCGCCCCGCCCAAACCCACCCCACCCCCACAAGUCGGUUGCUUAAGCAACACCCCAGGAGAACCGGCAGAGGAGACACAAGCAGAAAACUAAACGGGCCAGAUGUGGAGCUGACUAAGCGGGCUCCAGCCCGCUGCAAGACGCGCUGUGCGGGAAGUCCCACAGCCGCCCAGGCGCUGCGACGCCAGCCAGAGCUAAAACACAUGGGCGCCAGAUAAGCCGAUGACGAUGAAAUGCCACGCCAGCGCCUGGAACGAACCGCCGCCCAAAAGGAAACCUAGGGGGCCUGCACAGGUGAUGCAAGCGUCAGCCACAAGUUCAACUUCGGUGACCCACCCUGAACCUCCUCCACUUCACAAAGCGCGCCACCCGCCGACCAGAUGGCAACAAAGUGCUCCAGCUUAGCCGCCUUGAGCUGUGCGGUGAGAAGCUGAGUGGGCAGAGCCGACAGGGUUUCAGGGGUUAGCGUGGCGGCAGUGAAACGCAGCUGCAUCACCCUGCGCAGCUCGCUGACCACCUCCCGAACCACAUGCUCCGACGUCUGCUUAGCAGAUGCAGCCACUGACGUCCUUUCUGCGGCGGCAGGUGGAGCAAGGGGCACUGCGCACGCCCCUGUUACCCAGCGGCGAGCAGGCGCCACCUGCUGCCCACCACGCUGACGACACGACCCUCACGGCGCGCGACCCGGCGGUGGACGGGCCGGUCCUGAUGGUGGCAGUACUGCUGUUCUGCCGCGCGUCCAACGCCCGUGUCCAUUCGGACAAGAGCAAGGCCAUGGGCCUUGGCAGGUUUGCGCACCUGACGGGCCCUUGCCCACACACGGGGGUGCCGUUUACCACUGGCGCCGUGACGCACCUGGGUGUGCCCCUGUCGUGGGACUCUGAUGCGGCUGCAGCUGACUUGUACACCCGGCGGUCUCGCGGCAUGGCGUUUGUGGCGCGUCUGUGGGCUGCCCUGUCUCUGACUCUUGUUGGCCGUGUGCACAUUGCGAAGCAGGUGCUGGCGGCGAAGCUGGCCUACCACUUCAGCUUCCUCAACCCGUCGCCUGCGCAGCUGAAGGAACUCACCGACCUAGUGGACCACUUUGCUGCGCGCUCCAUGCACGCUGAGGACGCCAGCCUGGUGUCGCACGGGAACCCGCUCCUGCUGCCAAAGCGGGAGACGGCCUGUCUGCCGUACAAGGAUGGGGGUGUCAACCACGUCGACCUGCCUGCGUUCCUGUCUGCCCUGCAAGCUAAGAUUUUCGCCCUCCUUGCCCAGCCAGGCCGGCAACCCUGGAAGAUGCUCACCCGGGCGCUGCUUACCCAUGUGCGCCCGGACUCCGCCACCACGUGGGCGUGGGUGUACAGCGACGCGCCGGCGCCAGCGGGGCUGCCUGCCCGGCUUUUUUUUUUUGAGGAAUCAUCCUUACAAGGUUGAACAGGCUGGCGGCCGCGGUCGGCCACGUGCGGAGCGCGGGUGUGGAACAGCAUCCGCCGCAGCCAGCCUUACCUGCCUUGCGGGCUGUACAGGGCGGGCAAGGGCAUUCGGCCACGGGUGACCACGGGGUGCGGGGGGUUGGGGGCGCACUGUCCUCACCCCGCCUGCGGGCCACCUGGCCCGCGGGCGUGGGCCAGCCUGACGCACAUCUUCCUGGAGUGUCCAGCUUAUGCGCAGGCGAGGACGUGGCUGCAGCAGCUGUGGGCCUGCGUUGCGCCCCAGGCAGCGGCGCCGCCAGUGACGGACGCGGGCUUCAUGCUGGGGGACCGCAUGGGUAUGUGGGCCUCAGGCCCGCGGGGGGCGGGCGCGCUGCUGUGGAGCACUUUGCGGGCCACCUUCUUGUACGCCGUUUGGUUUUUUUUUUGAGGAAUCAUCCUUACAAGGUUGAACAGGGGCAGACGCGCUGCCCCCCUGCUGCCUGAAAGCAGCCUGGUCCCCGAGACCAGAACCCUGACAGGGCAAGAAGAGAAGAAAAGAGAAGAAAACAAAAAGCAAACACCUCGAAACCGCCACCAACCACCCCCAUCCAUCCCACCCCACCCCACCCCGACCCGGCAGACAGAGCAGGAGGCUGGCCCCCCCGCCCCCCGGGAGGGGUUGCACAAAAACACCGCCAGACCUAACCCAAGCACCAACCUACACCACAGCCUAACCGCAAGAACCACCACCACCGUGCGCCAGAAAGGAAAACACCAGUGCUACCAACACUCGACCCGGCGUAACCCACCCCACCCCCACAAGUCGGUUGCUUGAGCAACACCCCAGGAGAACUGGCAGAGGAGACACAAGCAGAAAACUAAACGGGCCAGAUGUGGCGCUGACUAAUCGGGCUCCAGCCCGCUGCAAGACGCGCUGUGCAGGAAGGCCCACAGCCGCCCAGGCGCUGCGACGCCAGCCAGAGCUAAAACACAUGGGCGCCAGAUAAGCUGAUGACGAUAAUACGCCACGCCAGCGCCAGGACAGAAACGCCGCCCAAAAGGAAACCUAGGGGGCCUGCACAGGUGAUGCAAGCGUCAGCCGCAAGUUCAACUUCGGUGACCCACCCUGAACCUCCUCCACUUCACAAAGCGCGCCACCCGCCGUCCAGAUGGCAACAAAGUGCUCCAGCUUAGCCGCCUUGAGCUGUGCGGUGAGAAGCUGUGUGGGCAGAGCCGACAGGGUUUCAGGGGUUAGCGUGGCGGCAGUGAAACGCAGCUGCAUCACCCUGCGCAGCUCGCUGACCACCUCCCGAACCACAUGCUCCGACGUCUGCUUAGUAGGCUCGCGGGACCAGUACGCACACCAGACGGCGUACAAGAAGGUGGCCCGCAAAGUGCUCCACAGCAGCGCGCCCGCCCCCCGCGGGCCUGAGGCCCACAUACCCAUGCGGUCCCCCAGCAUGAAGCCCGCGUCCGACACUGGCGGCGCCGCUGCCUGGGGCGCAACGCAGGCCCACAGCUGCUGCAGCCACGUCCUCGCCUGCGCAUAAGCUGGACACUCCAGGAAGAUGUGCGUCAGGCUGGCCCACGCCCGCGGGCCAGGUGGCCCGCAGGCGGGGUGAGGACAGUGCGCCCCCAACCUCCCGCACCCGGUGGUCACCCGUGGACGAAUUCCCUUGCCCGCCCGGUACAGCCCGCAAGGCAGGUAAGCAUGUUGCAGCCGGUACACCAGCACCUUUGCCCCCCGACUGGCGUGGCUGUCCCACAGCCUCCGCCACGUACCCCGCAGAAGGGACGCAUCCGGGGGCGGCAUGCGAGGGUCGCCCUCCACCGCCGCCGCUGCUGCCGCCGCCGCCGUGGCAGGCCCAGUGCUAGGUCCCGCCCCUCCCGCCGCCUGCUCCUGCAGCCGCGCGGACCGCCGCGGCCCCUCACCCGACUGCUGGGACGGGGACGCAUACGACUGCAGUUCUCUCGCCGGCGUGUUCUGCAGCCCGGCUGCCGCGGAGGUGCGGUGGAGCCAGGGGUCCAGAGCUACCGGGUUAUUGUGGAAAUGCUGCGCCGCCGUGGUGGUCAGCUGCGCCGCUGCACGCUGCCACUCCGCCUCCCGCUCCGCCAGCCGCGACUGUGCCGCCGGCUGGGUCCCCGAAUCCCCCGACUGCUGUGUUGGCGCCGGGCACGGCAUGGCUGCGGGGCGGGCCGGAGCCGGAGGUGCGGCCGGGUUGGCCGCGGUGAUGGCCCGCCGCACGUCCCGCACCUUGUAGUCCGCUAAGCUGACACCCGCAAUCCGGCAGUGCUCCGGGUGCACCACCACCCCAGCCUCCGGCGCCAGGAAGUAUGGCGCCCGAGGCCACACCCCCGCCCGGUCCCCUGGUGAUGCUGCAUCGUACACCGCCCGCUCUUCAAAGGUCCACAGGUGCCGCGGCUUGCGAUGCUGCAGCACACAGGCAGGCUGCCACGCCCCAUCCACCGCCGGGGGCAGCACGCCAGGCCCAGGCUCCAAGAGCCGCCCCGUGUAAUGGACGUAGGACACAGCCCCCGCAGCGUUAGCCACCCACAGCUGGUCCCAUAUGGGACCACGGGGCCCCAUACAAAGGGCCACCCAACACACUGCUAACCGCAAUCAGCCGCAGCUCACACCCUAUCUCACACCACUUGGUCCUUACCUUGACACAAGCCGGCCUCGAUUUGCGAAACCUUGUAGGUAAAGAGCGUACACCCGAGGGGCGCGCAUGCCUCAUUCCUUCUGAUAUCCUCUUCCAACACCUGCCACGCAACCAAUGCCAGCAUAAGCACCGAGUGGCCCUAAACCGCCUUAGCCUAUGCCUGAGCGCGGAAUGCGAUGGUGCCCGUGAGGCACCUUUCAACCAGGCUGAAAACUACAAAUGUCACUUACCCCUUCCGCAGCGAUACAGAGCCCUCCCCAACACGCCAGCCUUUGCCGCCCUCCUACCCCGCAAUGCCACCCCGGGCGAGCUAACAACCCAAUCUACGAUGGACGCCCACCUCCAACACAUGACUGCAUUACACCCCAAUACCGAGGCUCAACCACCCCAACACCCAAAUGGCCUAGGCCCCCGCCAGCGCCAAACCACGUUAGCCCACAUGCUGAGAACAACAGGUGCCCCACCCACAGCACCAACCCAGUCGCCAACGGCAACUCUAACCCAAACUCCGACAGACACACUGCCUACCCCGCCACUAGCGCAACCCAUGCCACCGCCACUAACACAGCCCACGCCCCCACUAACAACACCAGCGGGCCCGGACGCCCCCAACACCCAGACACCACCCACAGUAGCGUCCCUCACAACGGCCCACCAGCAGCCAAAAAGUAAGAAACAACGACCCAACGCCAUCAAGCGCCUACAGCAAAAGAUUGCUGCUGACCCCCGGCACGACCCACUGCCACCUACCGAUAUGCGCAGCCACACAGAGAAAUCUGGCUUUAUACUACGACAACUACGACUAACAACGACCCAGACGAAAAUGACUCCGGUCCCCCGAACUUUGUCAUGUGGGCACCACACUACUUUGCCAAUGUACAAAAAGACAUGCAAGGAACCAACCGCAUGCCUCGACUUGGAAUUCCCCGCCACCACAGCAAGUUCCCGCAAAACCGCACUCGCCCCAACCCGACCCGUACAACCCCAGCCCACCUCGCAGACCCCUACUUCCUGGGCAGUCAGGUGGACGACACCAAUCCGCUAAACCCCGUCACAGCUUACAUAUCCGCAAACCCGCCAACAACACCUCCCACCUGUGCUUAUGACUCCCGACCGAGAUGGGCAGACACUGGGGAUUUCAUGAUUGCACCUGAGCCUCCAAACUGGCCGAACAUCACUGGUGCCACACCGGGGGACAGCCACGACCCCCGCCAGGCUGACCACGACCCACAAGGACAAAUGCGUGCAUAAUAUAUGCAGGAGCGUGAACGCCUCCGUGCACACUUGGAUGACCACCCACCCCAACCAAGACCCUUCAAGCGUUGGAUGGGAAUCCGACUCCAGCUCCUGACAGGCAAACUACCCUGGCCGACGCAGGCAUACCACGUUGCCCAAGCAGCGAAGCAACUAGUGUACUCCCUGUACCACGACAUUGAGGAAAUCUCACACAUUCAAGCUGGGCCCAUCACUAAAGCCGUCACUGCCCCAGAGAAGGGUGACAGUCUCCACACCGAGCGCUACUAUGAGGUAGCUUGGAAGGACACAACCAUCGUUAAAGGAGCGGCUGAGGCCUACACCCGCAUGAAGUAUACUGGGACUGCUGCCGCACACAUGGGAUACGGGCAAGCGUGCUGCAAACAUUUCCUGCGCAUGAAAUGGGACCCCACCAGCGAACCCGUAGACAAAUGCCCCACCCUCCAAGGGUGGACCCCUGCCAUCUCCGAACACUUGCGGAAACUUGCAGAACCCCCUACACCCAUGCCACAACCCAAGCCCAAAGACGCCCGUCUUACACCUGCCCAACAGCAAGGGCGAUGGACGCAAGCCGACGUGGCCGCGUCCCACGUCCGACGUACCACCAAACAGAACACGCGCAUUGACACCAACCCGUGCAACCCCUACCUCGACGUCCACCCCACCGGAAGGUAUACAAUCCAAAUCCCAGACACGUACACUGAUGAACGCACCCUCGCCCACGUCUACAGCCCUACCGGACGCCACAUAGCAUCCAUUACGCUAGGCACCUUGCUGACUCUUAAAGCUCGGUAUGAACACGCCCUAUCUACCCACCAUGACGCAACCAGCCCGCACCGAUCUCAAGGGGGCUUCCCGGAAGACCUGGCUAAACUGCUACUCCGCGCUCGGGUAGACAGCAAAGGCAAGACAUGCAAGUCGGCCCCCGCACGUGAGCGCUCUCUCCCCGAGUCCCUGAAGCUGGCGCUGUAUAACUGCCUUGCCUCGACACACUCAGACCCUGACCGCCCAGUGGGGCUGGUGGAACGCUUUGCCUCUCCACUCAACUGCUCGGGCCGGGCCACUAAAUAUUACAGCCAACACGCAGCUGACUCCCUCUUCGGGGCCUCACAUGAUGCGUACACGGCCCCGUUUGAUGGCCUUUCCCUCGCCCACCCUGACCCUGACCCAGACGCCUGCACAAAGGCACUGGCGUGGGCAACAGCAUCGAUCGAACACCUAGAACACCAGGCCACCCCCGCCAUUACCUUCAUGAUUAUCCCACAAGGCAAAGGCGCCGCCAGCCGGUGCCUUGCGAGUCCGCAUGUCACCAUCCUGGCCCUGAUUCCGCCUGGCGUAUCCGCCUCUAGCAUGUUAGAUGGCCUCGGGGCGGCCGACGAGGCUGCCAGCAGCAAGCAGGGCCUGCAGCUACUCCUCAUUGCGAACACCACAGGGGUACAAGCACUCAACUCCAACAACAACCUGACACGUCUCCAAACCUCCCUGGCCGAACUUGGAGCAGUGCCGCCACCGACCUCGCAACCCCCAGGGCGCCGACAACCACUGGAGUGGCCCGCGCGCGUAACCCUCCCCCGUGACCGCACAGCCCCACCGGGCCGACCAUACAGCCACCGUGCAAAAGCCCGUGCAAAGCAGCUAACUAGACCCCAAGCCCCAGCAGCACGGGGCCUGGACACAUGCCCUACGCCCAUGCCCACGCUCUCUGCCCUCUACACCACACGAGCUGCCUUCCCCACUCGGAGCAGAUACCUGUACGAUGCCGCCACCAUUGUUUGGACCGACGGAUCUUGCAUCAAAGUUGCAGCCGGUGAAGAUGGCAACAAAAUGAACAAACUCGGUGCCUGCGCGUGGUCCCAACAGACCGAACACAUCUACGUCGAACCAGGCGGCCUCAACAGCACCAACACAAUCCAGAGAGCCGAACUAUCAGCCAUUCUCGUUGCGUUAGAAUACAUCCGCCCCCGACUCUGUCUGCUGGGCAUGACCCAAGUAACCAUAGCCAGUGAUUCCCUAGUGUCUCUCUAAUUGAUCCGCCGAGCCCUUACUGCACCACAACGACUCCUACUAUCCAAGCAUAAAAACCUGCUGGAAAACAUACUCCACGAGCUACAAAUGUAUGCCGACGCCGGGGUCCCAGUCCAGCUGCUAAAAGUCCGCUCUCACACAGGGCUCCACGGCAACGAGGAAGCUGACAAAGGUGCCGCCAAAGUCGCCGCCAACGACAUGGAGGCCAUGGGGCAGGCCAUACGCUUAGCACCAGACGAACCGUGGUCCAACAUCUGGUGGCCCAAACGCAACUCUGACAAUUUCUACCUAAGUGACCUAAACCGUGGAGUCCUGAACUCAUUGCCCCCCGAAGCACAACAAGGCUUUACCAAUAAUACACCAGUGCUGGAGCAAUGGGCGGAAGCAUCUGCCAAUAAUAAUAAUAAUAAUUACAACGCCGGCCCAUAGGGCCUGGCAUGGAUUAACGGGGCAAGGUGACUAGGGCGAGAGGGCCCGCCCCCCUCACGCUGACGCCUCACCACGAAAGAGUCACAACCUCCAAACUACAACCUCCAUGUCCUAGGCCGCUCUUCAAAGUCCACUACGUCCAAGCCUGCACACCUAGCAUAUCGAGCUAGGGAAACGCCGCGUUAUAGUAGUGGAGCACUGCCAGUUCGUGCAAACCGAGGAGCCAUGGCGCUCCUCCUCGAGCCUUGGAUCUUGAGCCUUGUCUUGAACCUUGGACCUCGCCACUAAAUCGGACUUCUGCACCACGACCUUUCUAGGUUGCAGCGGGCAUAAGCCCGCAAUUGCCACUAAGGGCAAUUACCUGUCGUUCGUGGGAUCACCAAUCGGUUUCGCACCAAUCUUUCACCUUUUGCAUAAUUGGGCUUUUAUCCGGAUUCGUACCCGGGUCCCUUCUGCUGUAAGGACGAGUCAAAUCGCUAACCAGCUAGGCCGGGGGCCUGAUUGUGCACACCCUCCUCCUCUGGGCGCGAGGCGGGGGAGGGGG